UAAAGUUGGCGUAUUUCUUAACGUGUUCUAGGAAUGUUUCCAUUCUCUCAGGUGUUUCGCUUUAGUUAGGGGUGUAGUAGGUCUUUAUCAUUGGUAUUAUCAUUUUGUGUUAGUAUUAUUUACAGCAGGCGCUAUGGCAUCACUAAAAGCUCAACCUGCAUUUUGCAUGGGAGAACACACCUUAACUGUUCCUAUCAAACUUCAUGACCUAAACAGACAGCGGUUGUGUGACAGACUAAGAGCAAAGAAUGUUCCAGAGAAUUCUGUGGUUGUAUUGCAGGGAGGUGAAUCAACCACUCGGUACUGCUCUGAUAUGGAACAAGUUUUUCGUCAGGAAUCGUACUUUCACUGGACUUUUGGGGUGAUUGAACCAGAUUGUUAUGGGGCUAUUGAAGUCAAGACUGGAAAAUCUCAUCUUUUUGUUCCAAAGCUUCCAGAGUCAUAUGCUGUGUGGAUGGGCAAGCUUCAUUCAUUAGAAUUCUUCAAAGACAGAUAUGGAGUUGAUGAAGCACAUUAUGUAACUGAUAUUGCAGACGUCUUGGCUGGAUUAAAACCUGACAUACUUUUGACUUUGAAAGGAAUAAACACUGAUAGUGGUAAAACCUGUCGAGAGGCUGCAUUUGAAGGGAUUGGCCAGUUUAAAGUGGAUAACAAAUUACUUCACCCAGAAAUAAUGGAAUGCCGUGUUAUCAAGACACCUUUGGAAAUCGAAAUUCUUCGCUACACAAAUCGUAUUAGUUCAGACGCACACAAAGAGGUCAUGAAGCGUGUUCGUAUCGGAAUGAAAGAAUACCAGCUUGAAAGCAUAUUUCAACAUUACUGCUAUUUUACUGGUGGAUCAAGACACAUGUCGUACACUUGUAUUUGUGGCAGUGGAGAAAAUGGUGCUGUUCUCCAUUAUGGUCAUGCAGGAGCACCCAAUGAUAAGACUGUGAGAGAUGGAGAUAUAUGCUUGUUUGAUAUGGGUUGUGACUACUGUUGUUACACAUCAGACAUCACUUGUUCAUUCCCUGCAAAUGGAAAAUUUACUGAAGAUCAAAAAGCCAUCUAUGAAUCUGUUUACAAGGCUAGUCGAGCAGUAAUGAAUGCAGUGAAACCAGGUGUCUCAUGGGUAGAUAUGCAUCUCCUGGCAGAACGUACUCAGCUUGAAGAGCUAAAACGUCAUGGGCUUUUGAAAGGAGAUGUUGAUGAAAUGAUGAAAGCUCACUUAGGAGCUGUUUUUAUGCCCCAUGGAUUGGGACACUUUAUGGGAUGUGAUGUGCAUGAUGUGGGAGGUUAUCCAGAAGAUGGACCACCCCGACCAUCUGAGCCAGGUGUGCGUUCACUAAGAACAGCACGUAAUCUUGAAGAGGGAAUGGUUUUAACUAUUGAACCUGGAAUUUACUUUAUUGAUGCUCUUUUAGAACAAACAUUGAAUAAUCCCGAACAAGCAAAGUUUCUCGUACCUGAAGUUAUUGAACGCUUCCGUAACUUUGGAGGGGUUCGUAUUGAGGAUGACAUUGUUAUUACAAGUGAUGGUAUGGAACUGCUCACUUGUGUGCCUCGCACAGUUGAGGAGAUUGAAGCUAUCAUGGCUGAAGGAAGACAACUUCCAAGCCCUUUUCCUCAAGAGAAACUGCAGCCGAAAGAAUAACUCUAGAAAGAAUAUACUCCAUUUGGUUUCAUUUUACACAGAAUUGUGAGGCUUUCUCAUACCAGUCAGUAGUUGAAGUUGGGUCUUCCUGAAUCAGACAAUACAGAUUGGUUGCUUUGCUGAAGAGCAUUGAUUCUCUUACUUGUAAUUCAAGAUGAUUGUUCAGCAGUUAUGAAAACUUUAUAAGAUCAUGCUUUAAUAUGAAUAUACAAGAAAUUAAUUUUUACUUUGUAAAAUUGGGUUUGAAACUUAAGAAAUUUUUGUACCAUAUAAUGGAAUAAAAGCA